GAAAUGCGAUAAGUAGUGUGAAUUGCAGAAUUCAGUGAAUCAUCGAAUCUUUGAACGCACAUUGCGCCCUUUGGUAUUCCUUAGGGCAUGCCUGUUCGAGCGUCAUCUAAACCUUCAAGCCCUGCUUGGUGUUGGGUGCCUGUCCCGCCUCCGCGCGUGGACUCACCUCAAAUCCAUUGGCGGCCCCCGCGUCGGCCACGAGCGCAGCAGAAACGCGAACUCGUGAGCCCGCCCGGGCGGCUCCCAGAAGCUAACCCCCAAUUUUUGACCUCGGAUCAGGUAGGGAUACCCGCUGAACUUAA
rnacentral:misc_RNA from 1 species